GACGAACGCUGGCGGCGUGCUUAACACAUGCAAGUCGAACGGAAAGGCCCUGCUUGCAGGGUACUCGAGUGGCGAACGGGUGAGUAACACGUGGGUGAUCUGCCCUGCACUUCGGGAUAAGCUUGGGAAACUGGGUCUAAUACCGGAUAGGAACCAUCUUUAGUGUGGUGGUUGGAAAGUUUUUUCGGUGUAGGAUGAGCUCGCGGCCUAUCAGCUUGUUGGUGGGGUAAUGGCCUACCAAGGCGGCGACGGGUAGCCGGCCUGAGAGGGUGUACGGCCACAUUGGGACGGAGAUGCGGCCCAGACUCCUACGGGAGGCAGCAGUGGGGAAUAUUGCACAAUGGGCGCAAGCCUGAUGCAGCGACGCCGCGUGGGGGAUGAAGGCCUUCGGGUUGUAAACUCCUUUCGCUAGGGACGAAGCUUUGUUGUGACGGUACCUAGAUAAGAAGCACCGGCUAACUACGUG
rnacentral:rRNA from 1 species